rnacentral:rRNA from 1 species
UAGGGAAUCUUCGGCAAUGGACGCAAGUCUGACCGAGCAACGCCGCGUGAGUGAGGAAGGGUUUCGGCUCGUAAAACUCUGUUGCCAGGGAAGAAUGCACGGGAGAGUAACUGCUCUUGUGUUGACGGUACCUGAGAAGAAAGCCCCGGCUAACUACGUGCCAGCAGCCGCGGUAAUACGUAGGGGGCAAGCGUUGUCCGGAAUUAUUGGGCGUAAAGCGCGCGCAGGCGGUCGUUUAAGUCCGAUGUUUAAACCGAGGGCUCAACCCUCGGUCGCAUGGGAAACUGGGCGACUGGAGUGCAGGAGAGGAAAGUGGAAUUCCACGUGUAGCGGUGAAAUGCGUAGAGAUGUGGAGGAACACCAGUGGCGAAGGCGACUUUCUGGCCUGUAACUGACGCUGAGGCGCGAAAGCGUGGGGAGCAAACAGG